UCGGGUACCAUUGCUAGAUGGUCACUUCGAUUAGUACAGGAAUUGGUUUCUGUGCUACCGGCUUAGGUUCGAACCUGCGGGGUCACACACAUUAGAGGUUCCUAUCUGAUCUGAUGGCUGGUGAAGAGUCCCACUGGAUUGAGACUCUUCAACCAAGAGUCCUUAUACUCAGAGAUUCUGUGAUUGAGAAUCAGGAUUCUCUGAUCAUGAGUUCCACAUAUUUUGGGUACCAGGGUCAAGAGUCCCA
rnacentral:lncRNA from 1 species